GACAGAGGUGCCGAGCGUUAGGCGGAAUCACUGGGCUUAAAGCGUGUGUAGGCGGGCCGUUAAGUAUCUUGUGAAAUCCCCCGGCUCAACCGGGGAAUGGCUGGAUAUACUGGCGGUCUUGAGCAGUCUAGGGGCAGAUGGAACAAGUGGUGGAGCGGUGAAAUGCGUAGAUAUCACUUGGAACGCCAAAGGUGAAAACAGUCUGCUGGGGACUUGCUGACGCUGAGACACGAAAGCGUGGGGAGCAAACAGG
rnacentral:rRNA from 1 species